rnacentral:rRNA from 1 species
GACGAACGCUGGCGGCGUGCUUAACACAUGCAAGUCGAACGGAAAGGCCCUGCUUUUGUGGGGUGCUCGAGUGGCGAACGGGUGAGUAACACGUGAGUAACCUGCCCUUGACUUUGGGAUAACUUCAGGAAACUGGGGCUAAUACCGGAUAGGAGCUCCUGCGGCAUGGUGGGGGUUGGAAAGGUUCGGCGGUUGGGGAUGGACUCGCGGCUUAUCAGCUUGUUGGUGGGGUAGUGGCUUACCAAGGCUUUGACGGGUAGCCGGCCUGAGAGGGUGACCGGCCACAUUGGGACUGAGAUACGGCCCAGACUCCUACGGGAGGCAGCAGUGGGGAAUAUUGCACAAUGGGCGGAAGCCUGAUGCAGCGACGCCGCGUGCGGGAUGACGGCCUUCGGGUUGUGAACCGCUUUCGCCUGUGACGAAGCGUGAGUGACGGUAAUGGGUAAAGAAGCACCGGCUAACUACGUG